AUCGGAAUGAGGAGCCGUUGUAAAUUUUGUACACUUCGAGUUUCGUCUCUGAGCCUGACCUGACUUGAUUGCAUAUACGAUACCUACCUAAUGCGAUUGCCAUUUGAUGCCAUUCCCAGACACAUCUUAUAGUUAUGAGAAUUAGACGACCUAGAUCGGUGACUGGACCACAGUUAGCAAUAACAGCUUUUCUGGGUAUUCUUGGUGGUGUGUAUAUAUGGAAACCACUCUUACUUAGAUAUAAAUCAGAAAACCCCAAAUCAGAAUCCUUGCAAUCCAAGUGAAGGACAUAUUAAAUACAAAAAUAAUUUUCAAGUCUUUGAAAAGUGAAAUGGAUGUACUUCGAAAUGCCUGGAACUUUCCAAUCCUGAAGUCAGGAUUGGCAGUAUCGUUUGUUAUUAUUUUUGGUUACAAGUAUAUUGCUUCUCCUUACUUUAAAGGACGACAUUAUGAUAAACAGGAAAUGUUAGCCAUGGAACUUUAUGAAAUGAGGCAAAAGAACAUGCAAGGAAAACAGUCUGAAGAUAGUAGCAGGCAUUCACCCAGCCAUCAAAGUUAGAAUUAGGUCCUCACAAGGAGCUCACAAAGUAAAGUACUAAAAUCAUUUUUGUUAUUGUGUAAAGACAUAAGUGGGUAACUUUUAAUAAACCCUAAGAUCAUGAUGUACACCAUAUUUCGAAGGAAUGAAUGUAUAAAAAUUGUAAGCCACAUUAAAUUCGUAGUAGUAAAGAUAUGAACAUAGGUCAAAUUUAUUACAUCCUACCCUAGUACUACUUACUACAAGGUGAGUGUUCUGUACCUUUGUGGAAACUGUUUGUUUGACAGGGCAUUAAAUGCAUAGUUAAGAAACUACAGCAUCUUUCUUUUCUCUUGCUUGUUUUUUUAGAACUAUAAUGAAAUUAUAAAAUAAACUAAAAAUCAUGAAGGUUACACAUUUUUUUGCAAACUUAGAAGCCCAAAAAUAUUUUUAUAUUUAUACUGGUAUCAAGAUUUCCAGACUGACCAAAUGUCAAAAGGUCUGUCUAUAGUACUGUGCAAUAUUGUAAAUAGCUUUGGCAUUAAAAAUAAAUUUCUUUUCUUGAGA